GAUGAAGAACGCAGUGAAAUGCGAUAAGUAAUGUGAAUUGCAGAAUUCAGUGAAUCAUCGAAUCUUUGAACGCAUCUUGCGCUCCUUGGUAUUCUGAGGAGCAUGCCUGUUUGAGUGUCAUUAAAUUCUCAACUACACUGACUUUGAAUUGGUGUGGCUUGGAUUUGGGGGGAAAAUUGUUGUGGGCUUUUUGUAUAGUCUGCUCCCCUGAAAUUGAUUAGCGGUACCUUUGUGGAACUGUCUACAGGUGUGAUAAUUAUCUACAUCUUAGACAUCUGCUGGAAUGCUGCUUUCUAAACCUUACUUGUAUUGACAAUCUUGACCUCAAAUCAGGUAGGACUACCCGCUGAACUUAAGCAUAUCAAUAAGCGGUGGA
rnacentral:misc_RNA from 1 species